AUUCAAAUAGUUUAUUAAAAUAUUGAUUUGUGGGAUCAAAGAUAUAAGUAUUUAUUUUGAAUA
rnacentral:tRNA from 1 species